rnacentral:lncRNA from 1 species
UUUUGUGAAAUUUAAUUAAAUUAUUAAUUAAGUCUUUCUUGAACCUAAAUAUGUGUCUUCUUCUCCACUUUCCGGCUGACAGUGACGCCGGCGCCGGCGCCGGCACCGGCGACCGCGAUGUCGGCGAUGGCGACAAUCUCCCCAGAUUUUCUGCCUAUGCUUUGUCAAAAAUCAAAUCAACCCCAAAAAAUCAAAAACCAAAAAAUCAAAACCAAAUCAACCCCAAAAAAUCAAAAACAAAAAAAUCAAAACCAAAUCAACCUCAAUUUCCUCAAAACCAAAUUAGAGGAGGGAGAAGGGCGGCGUCGUGAAGAGGGAGAAGAGGACCCAGGAUUCGAUUUUC